rnacentral:rRNA from 1 species
UCUACUCCAGUGCCCGUCAAAUGCCAACUUGACAUAGAUCCCAAUGGUAAAGCGGUGGAUCAAAAGGUAUAUCGUUCUAUGAUUGGGUCCUUGCUUUACCUUUGUGCAUCUAGACUGGAUAUCAUGUUGAGUGUGGGAAUUUGUGCAUGGUUUCAAGCCACACCUAAGGAAAGCCACUAUGUGGCGGUCAAGCGAAUCUUUCGAUAUUUGGCUCAUACCCCAAACUUUGGCUUGUGGUACCCUAGAGGAGCAAACUUCAACCUCGUGGGCUUUUCGGACUCCGAUUGGGCGGGAGACAAAGUGGAUGGGAAGUCAACUUCCGGAGGGUGC